rnacentral:rRNA from 1 species
AAGAAAUUAAAAGUCGAACAGACUUAAAAUUAUAAAAUCUACUUUAUAAUUUAUUCUUAAUUCAACAUCGAGGUCAUAAUAAAUUUUGUUAAUAUGAUCUUUUAAAAAUUUUUAUG